ACCUACUGUUUAAUUUUGAGGGUUCGUUUUUACGAAUACUCAAAAUUAGCACUUUUAGCAACAGAAUAAACUGAACGCAUGUGAAGUUUGUUUGUUGGCGCUGUGCGUUAGCACUUUGAAAACUGCAUAUAUAUUUAGUGAUAUGACAUCUAAUUUGUAAUAUAUAAAGCUGAUAACUUUUUAAAAUUAUCGAAGUUGAUAGCUUCUAAUCUAUCAAACCUUUUUAACUGGUCAA
rnacentral:misc_RNA from 1 species